AAACCGACGACGAUUAAAAGGGAAUCGGGUGUAAAUCCCGGACAGUCCCGCUGCUGUAAGCUCCGCCAAAGUCGUUUCCAAAUCCCCUGCCACUGUCCUCUGAGGAUGGGAAGGCCGCGAAACGACGGAGUAAGUCAGAAGACCUGCCAAUUUUCG
rnacentral:ncRNA from 1 species